AGAUGAGCAUCCAUUUGGACACUUCUGUGUGUUAUACUCUAUGCUGAAGAUUUCAAAAUAUUACCUCCUAAAAUCCUCACAAUGCCUCUCUGAUGGGUUGUUGCGUGUGAUGAUGGAAUAGACAUCUCUGUUUUCCUCAUUUCACCUCUCCAAGUCAAACAGAAGAGUGUGAGGAAUUCUAUCUCAGAGACUUCUGUCAGAAGCUUUUUGCUGACAGCCUGACUGGCGGCUCUGAAGCUUACCAGAUGGAAGUGUUUCCCACACUGACCUCCCUGAUGAGCCAUGCACAUCGUUAUUUCUCCUAGAUAACAAUAUAAAACAAUAGAAUAAAUAGAAAAAUAGUGACCGAUUUAGAGACCUAUAACAAACUACACUUUUCACAAAAUGUGGACUUCAUUCAUCACUAAGUGGUAAUUAUACACACAGAACAGCACAGAAACAAAGUAUGGGGUGAGAGACCAACUGAAUUAUAAAUCACAGAAAGGAUAAAUUACAUU
rnacentral:lncRNA from 1 species